UACAGAGACUGCAAGCGUUACUCGGAUUCACUGGGCGUAAAGAGCUCGUAGGCGGUCUGUUGCGUCGGCUGUGAAAACCCGGGGCUCAACUCCGGGCCUGCAGCCGAUACGGGCAGACUAGAGUUCGGCAGGGGAGACUGGAAUUCCUGGUGUAGCGGUGAAAUGCGCAGAUAUCAGGAAGAACACCCGUGGCGAAGGCGGCUCUCUGGAACGCAACUGACGCUGAGACGCGAAAGCGUGGGGAGCAAACAGG
rnacentral:rRNA from 1 species